rnacentral:lncRNA from 1 species
UCCCUUCUUCCAUGUCAGGUUUACAGCUUCGCUGGUCGCAGGCUCAGUAAGGAUGAUGGACGGCGCUCUGCUCUCUCCAUCACGUGCGGCGCGGCUGAAGAGUGUCUUUGUGCUCACAGCCUGCAGUCCGUCGCCUCCGAUCCCUCCUCCCUCCGCACGCAGGGCGUCAUGUUAUCCGCGCCCAGAGCUUUGGGGAAGGCUCAUAUUCAGGAACAUGAGGCUCCCAGCCAAGGCGGGGGGAGCAGCAGAUCCAGCCGUAGGACCCUUGGGGAGGAGAGGCUCACCAGCUGCUGCCUCCCUGCCCCAGCCCGCUCCCUGCCUGUGAUUUCAAAGUGCUGAUUCUCUGUGGCCGCCUGCUUUAGUUAACACCUAACA